rnacentral:rRNA from 1 species
AGUAAGGAAUAUUGGUCAAUGGGCGCAAGCCUGAACCAGCCAUGCCGCGUGCAGGAAGACGGCCCUAUGGGUUGUAAACUGCUUUUGUCAGGGAAUAAACCUAUCUACGUGUAGAUAGCUGAAGGUACCUGAAGAAUAAGCAUCGGCUAACUCCGUGCCAGCAGCCGCGGUAAUACGGAGGAUGCAAGCGUUAUCCGGAUUCAUUGGGUUUAAAGGGUGCGCAGGCGGAUUGGUAAGUCAGGGGUGAAAUCCCACAGCUCAACUGUGGAACUGCCUUUGAUACUGUCAGUCUAGAGUAUAGUUGAAGUGGGCGGAAUGUGUCAUGUAGCGGUGAAAUGCUUAGAUAUGACACAGAACACCGAUCGCGAAGGCAGCUCGCUAAGCUAUAACUGACGCUCAUGCACGAAAGCGUGGGGAUCAAACAGGAUUAGAUACCCUGGUAGUCCACGCCGUAAACGAUGAUUACUCGAUGUUGGCGAUACACAGUCAGCGUCUUAGGGAAACCAAUAAGUAAUCCACCUGGGGAGUACGAUCGCAAGAUUGAAACUCAAAGGAAUUGACGGGGGCCCGCACAAGCGGAGGAGCAUGUGGUUUAAUUCGAUGAUACGCGAGGAACCUUACCUGGGCUAGAACGUAGAAUGACUAUAGGAGAAAUCUUAUAUCCCUUCGGGGCAGUCUACGAGGUGCUGCAUGGUUGUCGUCAGCUCGUGCCGUGAGGUGUCGGGUUAAGUCCCAUAACGAGCGCAACCCCUAUCUUUAGUUGCCAACAGGUCAAGCUGGGGACUCUAAAGAAACUGCCUACGCAAGUAGUGAGGAAGGCGGGGAUGACGUCAAAUCAGCACGGCCCUUACGUCCAGGGCUACACACGUGCUACAAUGGCCGAUACAGAGGGCAGCUACCUGGUGACAGGAUGCAAAUCUCCAAAGUCGGUCUCAGUUCGGAUCGGAGUCUGCAACCCGACUCCGUGAAGUUGGAUUCGCUAGUAAUCGCAUAUCAGCCAUGAUGCGGUGAAUACGUUCCCGGGCCUUGUACACACCGCCCGUCAAGCCAUGGAAGUUGGGGGGACCUAAAGUCGAUAACCGCAAGGAGUCGCCUAGGGUAAAACCAAUAACUGGGGCU